ACGCAUUUUGUUUUCGUCUGGCAGUCUGUGAGAGAACACGUUCGAGUCAAGUCGCGUAAAUUAAAUCGCACCAGUGUGUUAAAGUGAGAGGAGAAAAAAAAGUGGAAUUUUUCAUUUUGCACCGUACAGAGAACAAUAUUUCAAAACCGUAGAAAAACUAGGCGCACCCGUGAUGCACACGUUCAGUGAAACAGGUGCCGGUGUUCCGGCCUUCCUGGCCAAGCUCUGGCGGCUGGUAGAGGAUCCGGAAACGAACGAUCUGAUCUCCUGGAGCACGGAUGGCAGGAGUUUCAUCAUUCAGAAUCAGGCACAGUUCGCCAAAGAGCUGCUGCCGCUAAAUUACAAACAUAACAACAUGGCCAGCUUUAUUCGCCAGCUGAACAUGUACGGUUUCCACAAGAUCACAUCGAUCGACAACGGUGGCCUGCGGUUCGACAAGGACGAGAUGGAGUUUACGCAUCCGUGCUUCCAGAAGGACCACCCGUACCUGCUGGAGCACAUCAAGCGCAAGAUUGCCAACUCGAAGCAACAGCAGCAGCAACAACAGCAACAGCAGCAGGACGACAAAAGUUCCACCAAGGUGGAGGCCGUCAACCGGGUGCUGUCCGAGAUGAAGAACAUGCGCGGCCGGCAGGACUCGCUGGACUCGCGCUUCUCCACCAUGAAGCAGGAGAACGAAGCGCUGUGGCGUGAGAUUGCCAUCCUGCGCCAGAAGCACAUGAAGCAGCAGCAGAUUGUGAACAAGUUGAUUCAGUUUUUGGUCACGAUCGUGCAGCCGUCCCGCGGUGGGCUGGGUUCGAUGAACGGCAAUGGCAACAACAAGCGUCGGUUCCAGCUGAUGAUAAACGACGCGCCGCCGACGACGCCGGCGAAGGUAAAGAAGACCGGCGGGGAGGGCGCCACGAUUCAGGAGUUGGGCGAGGUGCUCGAAGAGGUUGCCUUUGAGAACGAACAGGACUUGUUGUCGCAGAGUAAAAACAAGAAAGAAAAACCGACGGCGGGUAACGGUAAAGUUAGGAGCGAAAAGUCAAAAGACUCGAAAGAAUCGGCCAGGACAUCCGAGGUUCCGGAAGUUACGUCCCCAAUUUCGAUAGCGCAACAGUCGCCGUACCGGUCGGACAGUGUCAACGAGGUCAUCGAGGAGGUGACCAGCCCGAUGUCGUAUUACGGCGGCCAGCAGGAGCAGAUCGCCAUCAAGCGUGAGCACGUGGACCGUACGCGACGCAUGACCGGACCACAGGAGGAGGAAGGCGGCAACGUCGUCGACGACGGCUCGUACGACGAUGAGGGCUAUCUGGUUGAUCACGUGGAGGAGUUCGAGGCGGGAACGUCCCAGCUGUACCACGACUCGGACAUGUUGGUCACGCCCAUGGUCAUCAAGGAGAUGCAAAAGCAGGAACAACUCAAACAAAUGCAACAGCAGCAGCAGCAACAACAACAACAACAGCAGCAGAAGGCAGUUUCCAAGGGUGAAAGCCUGUUGAAGAUAAAGAAGAAUGGCGCUAUUCACAAGGCCCAGAAGAGUCUGUUGGCGAACAACAAGCAUGCCGAGUCAAGCAGUGGCAAGAAGAUGCACCACGUCGGCGUCGGCAAGACCAUUUCGUCAAACGAGCAGUCCGGCACCAGUGCGGCAGGUCCCUCCGGGAUGGGCAACUUUGUGACGGACUCCAUACCGACCACGUCCAUCGGGUACGGCAUGAACGACUUUAUCGUGAAUGACCAGGUGCCGAGCGAUCUGUUCGACGACAACGACAGCCAGAUGGAGAAGGAAUCACCGAUGCUGGGCGUUGGGUUCAACUUUGAUGGCGGAUUCUACAAUCCGAAUGUGAACAUCAAUGAGAUGAAGGGCCGCCAGCAGCAGCUGCUUCAACAGCAGCAGCAGCAACAGCAACAGCCCCAAACGCAGGCCGCAGGUCCAAGCCACGAGAGCAACCUGCAGGUCGACGAUGAGGACGACCUGAACGGUGGGGACGAGUCGGACAAAGCUGGACGGACCUUAGCCAGGUUUGUUAGCAACGACAGUGACAUGAAUAAACUUAACACGAUCAUCGAUUACGGACAUCACAUCGACACCGUCCAGACCGAUUUGGACUCGCUGAAGGAUUUGCUGAAGGGCGAAGGAUACCAGUUUGAUGCCAACACGCUGCUCGGGACGACUGGCGGAAACGGUCCGCAGUUUGGCAGAGUUUAUUUCGCACCGUCUGCAUUUGACACGGAUGCCCUGAACAAGCUUUUUGCCGGAAACGAGGACCUCUUGGGGUACGACUUCCCGAUGAACUUGCCCGACGCGGCCAGCGUGACCGACGCGCAAAAGAGAAAUAUCGCAGUUGGAGGAGCAGGAGGUGGUGCAAUUACGGCCGGCGUGUCCUCGUCAAACUCGGCCAGCAACGGCAGCGGAGGAAUGUCUAAAUUGUCGACGUUGCAAAACUGUGGUUGAAAGUGGUGGUCUCUCUGUUGUGGUUGGUUGUGCUUAAUGCUUAAUGGCAGGCAAAACUCUGGGAAUUGUGGUGAUGAAAUGUGUAUUCUAGCUAGGAUUGGAAACCGCGCAAAAAGGCAAGACUGGCGUUAAAAAGUUCAUCCAGGUCUUCUAGAGUCCGCAGGUAUUGCUGCUGGCGGCGAUCCGACGAGUCAGCUCAUGGCAUACAAAAAUCCG
rnacentral:misc_RNA from 1 species